rnacentral:lncRNA from 1 species
CGUGCGACCCAGAGACAUAAUUUCAAUCUUCCGGCCUUUGGUAGUAGUAAAAAAAAGAAAGAGAAGAGCUAAGAUUCAGGAAAGGAUGACCUUAGGUUAGGGUAUUAGUUUCAUUUGUUCAAUGUGAGUAGUUUUCUUUUUAUCUUCGGCGCCCGGCCUCGUCGUGAUUGCCUUCCUUUAGCUGCCCUGCAGAACACCCCUUCAGAACAUCAGUUCAAUUAUGAAUGAUGAGGAAAAAAAGGCUGGGAAGGGCUAUCUUUAUGGGGGGAAAAGUGUGUAUGUCUCUGGGUGGUUGGGGUUAUCUAUUUAGAAAGGGAUCAGUCUCUAUCCAUCCAUCCGGAUACUACCGUAGGCUACCAAGUCAGUCUAUUCAGGUGGUUGGUGUAUAAAAAAAAUGAAGCAACACGCUCAAACACGAACAAUUGGUUCGCGAGCUAGCUGCAUUUCUUGUGAGUCGACCCCCGUGCGCGGGCAAGCAGCGGAGGUAAGAUCGAUGCGAGGGCCACAUACGUACAUUAGACCCGUUUGUAUGGUGUUGUUAGCAGGUUUAAGGCAGCGCAGCAUAGUUGUUCCUAGUCUCUGCUAACAAGUGAAGUAGGCAGUCAAGUUCAGUCUACACUGACUGCUUACAAGUUCAAUCAAGUUCAGUUCAGUGAAGUCAAGGUUAAGUGCAGUUAAGUGCAUAUAAGAGCAAUUAACACUGACUGCUAACAAGUUCGGUCAAGUGAAUGAAGUUCAGUUAGGGUUGGGGUGAAGUUCAGUCAAGUUCAGUGAGCGUUGGGGGGGGGGCCUGGAAUGAACUCCAUAUUGUAUUGAAAGACAUUCGUACAAGAGGAGCCGGGCUCUAUGAAAUCCUUCUUUUUGGCCUGAAUUCCAAAAGAGAGCCACCCUCAAUCACUGGAUCGCAUUGCUAUGGGCACCACUCUAUAUCAAAUUGUUACGAAGCUAAUAGCCAAUCUUGUGGGAGACCCUGAGUGAGCUCAUUGCAGAUGAACAAGGAGCCUUCAUAAAUGGUCGGUUGAUUUAUGAAAAUUACCGUUUGGAGUCUUUUAACUAUGAGGGGAGAACCAGCCAUGUAAAUCAAACGUCGACAUGGCGCGGCAUAUGACAAUGUCGACCCUUUUAGAAUGAUGCGAGAAACCAAAUAGGCUUUGCUGAACCUCUGAGAAAAUGGAUAUUAGCAUGCAUACUAAUCUAUUGCACCCUUGAUGCAGGGUCGGCCAACAGGAUUCAUCCAUGCGACCAAGGGCGUGAGGCAGGGAUGCCCGUUAUCCCCGUAAGGAGUUAGUGGCCAAAAUAUUGAACAGAGCCCUCAAGAAACAACAACGACAGGGGAAACUUUUGAGAUUCAAUAUAAAAUCGGGGAUGGAGGAUUCCCUGAUUUCCCAAUUUGUUGAUGACACAGUCAUCAUAACGGGCGUAAAUCGAGCCACAAUUACCUCUCUCAUACCCUACGAUUUUCCAGGCUUCUGGGGGAAUUAGAAAUUCUUCUAUUCGUGCAAGUCAGUUAGAUUCUAUUUUUGAAUGUUCCGGUACACCGACAGAGAUUCUCCACUAGCUUCACUGCUCGAUGGGAAACAUCACCGAAGUCUGGAAAUACCUCGGCGUCCCUAUCUAUCUUUUGGAAAGCUAUCCACAAAAGAGAUUGGUUGAUCCUAUUGGUGACCAGACCAAAAAAAAUCACAGACUGGAGCAACUCAUGGUUGAGCUUUACUGAUCAUCUAGUCCUCAUAAAACAUGUCAAGCAGGCAUAUGCAUGUCACAUGGCGACCAUUCUCAAAGUCCCUGUGGGUAUUUGCAAGGCAACCAGGUAUGUCAAAAAUUCCUGUGGACUGGAGGUCGACAGGACAAAAAGACUCAAAACUACACUUGGCCAGAGUCUGAUAUGUCAGCCCAAACCGAAGGGGGGAUUGAGUCUCCAACCAUUCCAACAAUUGUUGGAGGCCUAAAAUUCAAUUGGCUUGGAAUCUUCUAACGGAAGACACAGUAGGAUGGAAACAGAGACUUAUUGGAUAAUACUGUCCAGGCCUGUCGAGGUGGGAAUUCACUUUCGAUGGCCAAGUAAGAUACUCCGGCACGAUAAUCAGGAAUGGAAUCUACCGAUCCAUCUAGCGGCUCAGACCUCACUGAUCGGUUGGUUCUAGGUGGGGGGAUAGAUCUUUCUUCUGGACCAGGCCGUUUGACUUGUCCCCUGCUCAUCAUCAUGUAAAUCUCUUUACCCGAUUACAUGAAUGGCUACGAGUAAUGGACUCCAGACUACUAAAAUCCAUUCAUAACACACAGACGCUGGCCUAAUUCUAUACNNNNNNNNNNNNNNNNNNNNACAACAACAGUCUUCUCUACCAACCGUAGGGGAAAGAGUGUAGGGGAAACGAUGGAGGAUGUAAGUUGGUUUGUUCCAAUCGUGUCGGGUCCAUGUGAGUUUGUCUCGCAGGAUGGAUGUCACCUCAUGACAUGUGUGGGACCCAAGGCAUCUCUGAUUUGUUUCUUUAAUUCUUAUACGUUGAUCAUCUUGAAAACAUCCAAUGUUCUGAAGAAUCUUCUUUUUGAUUUUGCAAAAAAAAGAAGAAGCAAUGACCCAUUUAAAAAGGCCUCUUAUAUUGGAUUGUAACACCCGGGAUGAGGAGGAGAUGAAUCCCUUGCCGCCUCUCUAGCCCAUGUUGUUCGUGCCAUACCUGGGCAUGGAUAGUCAACCUUUCCAUCUCUUCCAUCUCUCGAUGCAGGAGGUUCAAUGCAAGCCUUCCCGCCACCACCCGAUCCCUAGCCUUAAAAUCCUUCAUCUUCCCAGGUGCGUGCUUUGCUUUUACAUGAUUACCACAACCGAUUUGAGCAAUGGACAGGAACGGACUGCAAGACAGAUAGUCGUUGAAUGAGUCAAUUCUUGGAGAGAUCAAUGCAACAAGCCGAGGGCUUAGAGUAGACUCUCUCUCCUACUACGUUUUAGGGAAGUAGGGAAGCACGGGAGUUGGGCUACUUUAAGAGCCUAUGGGAUAAAGGUAAGACUCAUUCCGUGUAGCUCCUGCGUUAAGGCAAGCAAGAGAGGAACUAUAUAAGGAAGAAGAGAGAGCAACUACAAUAAGCCGAAGGAGAAGAGUGGACAACACUCUCUCCUACUAUUUAAAGGAAAGAGCUACUGCUUAUAAAGGCUAGAGCGACUACCCUUUAAGAUUGAGAAAGGCAAGAGUAGAUAUGACCGUUGCCUCCCCUAGCUUGCCUUCGGCUGCGCCUUCCCUCUCUGGGGUGAUAGCUCAAUGUAUUGUCUGCCCAAUAAAUCUGAAGGAGAAAAGUGGACUCUCUCCUUCCCUGUAGCCCUUACUAGGCAGCCUACUAGAUAGAAAGGCUUGUCCAUCCCUUCCCUAUCUAUUACAUCUCCUUUUAUUCAUUUUCUCACUUGGCAGAGGUACAAGGGGGUACUACGUGAUUGCAUUAAUAGGAAAGCGGAAAAUGAGAUUUCUAGUGCGAUUGUUAAUUUCUCAUAAGAGAGGAGUACUAAAGUCCCGAGGGCCCCCUCGCGGGUGAGGGAUGACUCGACACAAGACAAGACGUGCGCCGAGUCUAAUAGCUAGGAGUCAUCUUUCGUUCGCUAUCGCUCACUCUGGGAGGGCGUAGCCGACGGCGAAGCCGUUAGCGAGUCUUAUACUAAAAUAACAGGUCUAAUAGUCACGAGUCUAAGGCAAAGCGGAAGGCGCAGCUGACACCACUAACGAGUCUAAUCAAGCGAGGAAGACUAGCGAGUCCUGUCUCGUGAGGUCUCACCCUCUGGGCCCUCGCGGGGCUCCUCGGGAUUCCACUCCUCACGAUACUCUACUCCAGUUCUGGUCCUGACAAGUCAUCCUCGCGAGUCAGGUCAUGAUCGAGUCAUUCUCGCGAGUCUACCUCUCGAGUCAGAUCUUGUGGCGCUUCAUCCGAGACCUUUCUCGAGCUUGGGUAGAACUGUCUCAAAUUUCAUAAGAGUAAGUGACAGAAGGUCGAAGGGAAGGAAGCGGAUGAAACAACUACAGUCCUCACCUAGAGUAAAAGAAGGGCAUCUGGUAGCUACUCUAUCCUAUUACUUCGUAGGCAGUGUCUUAGCUUGACUCCUUUGGUGCCUCCACUCUCGGCAUAGGGACAUGAUUUGAGAGCUUGAAGGAGAAGAGGCUCUAUUAGUUCUUUCUUCUUUCUUUUCCAUUUUCUCUUUCUUGUAUUCCUACUUUAACAGAAUCAAAUCAAUGACAAAAUGACCUAACAUGGAAUUCGUACUAAUGUGCAUAUGAACCACUUAUUCUUUAGUAAGUAUCACAUGGCCCUAACUUCUUUUUUCAUAAGUUUUGGGAAUGAAGGAUUUUUUUGAAAAAGGAAGGAUGCUUAGGAAAUCAAUGCAACCUUAAUUGUCCUAAUUACCUAGGUGGAACAGGAAACUCGAUCCAUUCAGUUCAGGCUGAGUUGUUUGUGUAAUACGGUUUACAAGAUUCUCAGCAAAAUCAUCGUUCUAAAGAUUAUUUCUUUGUGUCAAGGGGCUUUUGUCAGGGGAGGCAGAUUUGAGAUUGGGGGGUCUUAGCCCUUGAGAUUGGGGGGUCUUAUCCCACGAGAUUAUUCACUCCAUGAAGAAUGUCCGAAAAUCGUGAGUUAGAGUUUGAAACUUGACAUGGCUAAGGCAUACGAUAGAUUGGACAGGGGUUUCUUGAAGCAGGUGCUUCAAAUUUGGCUUUGGGCAGUGGUGGUGCCUUCUCGUGGAGUAGUGCAUUUCGACUCCUAAGUUCUCAGUGAUGAUCAAUGGGCAGCCGAGGGGUUAUUUUGAGAGCUAUAGAGGCCUGAGGCAGGGAGACCCUCUAUCCCCCUAUAUGUUCAUUAUAGCAGUGGAGGGGGAUAUGUCUGGAGAAGAAGUGUUUGGAAGGGAAAGGGAUUUGCCCCGCUCAUGGAGUGUGCCCUAUAUCCCAUCUCCAGUUUGUAGAUGUUUCUUUUUGCUUUCGCAAACCAGCUGUCCGCUAGAGCAAUCAGGGCUACUCUAGAGGAUUACGAGAGAGACUCAGGUCAGAAAAUCCAUUUUCAGUUCAGGGGGAGGACAAUAACAAUGACUCUUCUGAUAAGAGAAAAAGGAGUAUUAGUCAUAUCCGCUGGUUGUGUUGAAGGAUCAUGGCCUUCCAUCUACCUAGGACUGCCACUUUUGAUUGAGAGAUCUAGCAGUAAUAUGUGGAAGCGUGUGGUGGAUCGUGUCCAAAAAAACCUGGCGGGCUGGAAAGGUAAGUUGCUCACUCUAGCUGGUAGAGCACCAAUGAAAAAAUCAGCUAUCCAGAGCAUCCCUACAUAGGUCAUGUCUUUGUUUUAUGCCCCUAAGAAAGUCAAAUCCGUGAUGGAGCGCCUGCAACGAGCUUUCUUAUGGGCGGUAGGUGAUUCAAACCACGGGGUCCACCUUGUGGCAUGGGAUAGGGUGAGUAUGCGAAGCGGGCUGGUAUGGAAGUGAGGUCGCUUGAGAUAGCAAAUCUUGCCCUUAUCGCUAAGUUGGGGUGGAGAUUGCAGCAAGAGCAGGACAACAGGUGGGGGUCGCUCCGCACGUUUGCGUUGGAUCUACAGGGAUUCUACAGUCCCUAUCGGAGCAUCCCAAUGGGGGCAUCAGAGCUAAACUUUCAUUCUCGAAAAAUACUGGACGCCUAACCCUUUCCCGGGCUUCUGCUUUUCACGUUACAGAGGUCAAUCGUCAAACCAUUCGUCCUUGGUCACCUCCAGAGGAAUGGAGAAGGCCGGACUCUUUCUUAUUUCUCCGUCUCACCCAAAAGAGGAAUGACUCAAGCUCUUGAUCCAGUUGAAUGAACGUAAAGGGUUCGAGACUCCUUCAUCUACGAGUCGAGAGUGUAGACACAUGGAUUUUCUCCUGCAUUCAUAAGAAUCAACUGUGUUGGAGGUGGAUAUGAACGGACUCCUUCGGCAAAGCUUUGCCGCUUGUUACAGACCAUGGGUGAAUGAGAAGAAGUGGUUUGAGCCAUAAGAACGUCCCGCUCACGAACUGAGCUUAAUGAACCCCGCAACAUCUGUUUGGAUUUUCCAUCUCUCCAAAAACAAGUUGAUAGUAAAAACGUGGUGCUUUGGGCUUAAGUUAAGGCUAUGAGGAACAGAAAGCUCAAGCUGGCUCAACCUUCCUCUCCUCGCUUUAGUAGUAAGGCAAGUAGUUUCGCUUCCUCUACUUCUUUCCUCAGCAAGAAAGCCGCUUAGGCUUUCGCGUUAGCGCUAGCGCGCUCACUUUUUAUCGGCCUGGAAAAUAGCACGCUCUCUUUUCUGCUUACCGAGCAAGAAAGCCGCUUAGGCUUUCGCGUUAGUGCGCUCUACCUUUGUUGCUUAUGCUGCUUGCCUUUAUAGUCGAGCGACUUUGUUCCUCAGUAGAGUAGCAAAGCUUCCUCUGCUUCGCUUCCUCACCAUCCGUUGAAGGAUGCGAUCCCAGCUAUGCCAAUGGAAAGAGAUGCCGGAUAGUGAUCAAACCCUGCAGUUCUAAACGACCUGGCACCCACUCCACCUUCAAUGGAUCGAUCACAAGCGGAGAAGCUUGAAAGUCAAUUGGGCUGAUGCGAUAGAUAGUCAAUCUCUACCCAAAACUGUACUUCUGUCAUUCGCUUAUCCAUCUUCAUGGGUAGGUUUGUCUCUUGCUCCAGCCUGUCACCCCGCAUUAAUUACAUGAUUGGUAGUCAAAGAAAUCCAACUACUCUCUAUUGGUCAUCCCUAUCCCAAUGACUCGAAUUUCCCACAGCCUUUUAUGCGGACUUCCCAAUGGGGAAGGGAGGUGGAAGUUGCUGAUGGAAGACCGUUGGGCAACACUUUAGACACUCUACAGCUAAGUAUAGGGCGAUGAAUGAUUGAAUGGACUUUCUCCUCUAAGACCCCUUACUCGUUCAGCCUUAUGCCUUGCCAGAAGGGAAUGGAUUCGAUCGCCAACCCUAUCCAAUUUAAGUCUAGGUGCUUGAUAUUAAGUCGUUUGACCUGCCCCGAUCGAAAGCCAUUCUCUUCUCCCUCCAUCCGAUCAAGUGACUCCUAUUCCCGUCCCUCGCUUUCAUGGCCGAAACACCCGCUUCCCUCUCCCAACAAGAGUCAAACCCUUGUGUCGAAAGUUUUUCAACUAAGUCCUUUCAACGCAUUUGCGUGCAAGCUCCGCAUUUUUAGACUAAAGAAACCUCUUUCCUAAAUCUUCGAUGUUUGAUCUCCCUGGGCUUUUCCCGAAAAUUUCAACACCAAAGAAAGAUUAAAGAGAUGGUGGGCUUCGGAUAAUGCUGAACCUUGAGUCACUAAACUGAUCCCUAUCCAUGGUCGAUUUGAUUGGCCUGCCCCGACUGACUACUCCAUCCACUGAAUUCAAGGCCUUGAAACCUGGAAAAGUAUAACUUAAAAUCCCCAAAGGAAUAUAACUUUGAAAGGUUUGAUUAGAGAAACCUACCAAACUCCACAUGUCAGAUAAGGUCGAAUCAAUUAGUGGAGCAGGAAGAAAGGAGAUUCAAUAGAUUCAGGAUAACUUCCUUCCUCAAGAAAAGAAAAACGUAUGUCAUGCCAUCCCCUACCGCCACCUUCACCUCGACUCCUCCCUACCUUCUUGAGUGGAUGGAAACCCCCCAAGGAGUGAACGAACGUCUUGGAGGACCUCCUCUGGCUGGGACUCCUACUGCCUUUGAACCAGAAUCUGGAACUUUAGAAUGAUUCUCUUCUUUCCUUUAAAAAAAGCCUUCCUCUUCUUCGUUCCUCAGCAGAGUAGCUUUGCUUCCUCUUCAUCUAGAGUAGCUUUACUUCCUCUUCUUCGGCGCGUAGCUUUGCUUCCUCUUCUUUUUUUGAUACCAGGGAAUUACAUACUCUGACAGGCGCCCUACCUUUCAUUUUAGACUAGUGCCUACAUCAUUCUGUUUGCAGCCUUCGACUAAGAGAGAUGUGCGACCCGCUUGGCACAGAUAUAGAAUAACCUGGUCCUCGACCUUUGAAAUCAAUAACAAUAGAAGUUGGAUCUUCCUAGGAUAGGAAACUCAAGAACCUACCUAAAACUCCUGCUGCAACCAGUCUUUCCAACCCCGCCUUGCCUCGUCCACCCGAGAACUAGCCUUUAUAGAAGUUCGACCUGGUUCGAAAGAACCAGAUAUUAAAUAACCUAUUCCUCUGAGAGAUUCCUCACGUAUAUUCUUUUUACUGAGCCCUCUUUUGUUUACUUCCUCCUCCCGCUCCGGAUCUUCUCAAUCAACAGAUCCAUUCCCCCUACCAGAAUCAAAUGUUUGAAUGUUCGAUCUUCCAUAGAAGACAUUCGGUUGGCGGUCAUUUGUGGGGUGGAAACCUCCAAACCUAAUGUAUGUCAGCUGAAUGAACUGCCUCCGAACACCGAUCAAUCAAGAGAUCUCUGACUGCUGGUUUCUGAACCCUCAUUCAAAGAACUAAGGGAUGGAGGAGUUUUCGGUAAAGAAAGAUGAACCCUACCUGAGAAUCUAGCCUCAUUGGAAGUUCGACCUGAUCCCUCGAGAGUGAGCUACCUAUCUUUUGAAAGCCGUGAGGUUCUAGGUAUUGGUAGGACUUGAGUCGAAUCCCUGUGGAGUUGACAUUCUAAAGGCCUAAUGGAGUCAAGUUACAAAGGCCAAGUGGAGUCGAAGUUCCAAAGGCAUAAAUGAGAGCUUUUUCAGUUGAAGAUUGAAAGGGCCAACUACUUGAAGAUUUGGAGGUGAUGAAACAGCACUUGACAAAAGAGGCCAACUAGUACUAUUCAAAGGUUUCGAAACUAAGGCACUUGAUAGAAGAGGCUUAUAGUAUUCAAAACCCUAGGGUUUCAAAAAAUAGGCACUUGACAGAAGAGGCGAGCCUCUAGCUACAGAUCAAGAAGAGGCCAACUAGUACGAUUCUUUGUCCCUACGGUUUCGAAACUCAGGCUUUGAAAGCAAUCUCAAAGUCGUCUCAACCAUGAAUCGAGGUGGGAGCCAACUGUCUCAGUUUAGAGCAAGCCGUCAAAGGUCUUGACCAAAAGCCUAACCGCAACAGAUUCAUCCUCAACUGAGUUAUCGGCGCACACAGGUCUUGGAAACCUAACCUUGCAUUCUUAUGCAGAAUAGGUUAAGCACCAAACAACUGAGGAAAGUUAAGAUUUUGAUAUAAGGCAUGGGCCGGAGAGGAGGCUGUCAUGCUAGUGGGGUGGCUGAUAUCCACUACCUUGGAGGUGGUGGAAUGAUUUUGUUGUUCUUGUUCCGAACUUUCAUCCGAUCACACCCUAUUAUGCUUUCUAUUUCCUUUGGCUUAUCUGGAAUAACAUUUGGCUCUGAAUCGUCAGGGUUAGUGGCUGUGAGGUCGAUAGGCCUUUUGGUUCGUUGGAGCCUGCUAUAAGCUCUAGUAUUGGGUCGAUCCAGGAUGUUGAUCUUGAUAAACCAAAGUCACAAAGAUACAGCAAGGUCUCCAAGCUUAGUCCACAGGUUGAAUGGGAAAAUGUUUUUCCUGGUGCUGGACUACCAAGUAGAUCACUCAUUAAGAUGAUGAAUAAGCAGCAAGGUUGCCAGAUAGGACUGACUCGAGAGCCUAGGUCGGAAGAAAGAAAGAUUUGUUUUCCCUUGUCGAAGAUGGUAGUCCGGCUUUCGAGUUUCAAGGCUUGACUAGGACUUCGCUUUCCAUUCGUCUAUAUAGCAAGUCCGGCUUUCAAGCUUUGCAGUUUCAUACCUCCGGCUCGUUCGCUUCGUAUCCUCCGCUAUUUUAACUAAGAAGUUAAGUAUGAGCUCUUUAUUGUCGAUAGAGGAACACGUCUCCCUCUUGAUUGCGAGUACAGACAGACAUAUAGCUAUUGUGCUUGGUAGGGACGAACUCUCAGCCCCAGAGUUUGAAAGCCUAAUAGUUCUACCUAGCUCGUUCUUCUUUGGCUCGUUAUGUGCAACUGAACGAGUGGAUUGCAGUUGCACUCCAGAGCCAUGUCUACUCCACUCGCUUCUUUGGCUCAUUCCGUGCUGUAGCACUCCACUCACUGUCUACUCCACUCGCCUUCACAGGUUUCAAUGUUUGAGUUCAGGUUUCGAGUUGGAAGGCUUAUAGGGCAGGUUACUAGUUCCUAUUCCUAGGCCGAGUGUUAGGCUUGCUGGUUUGAACAAGCUCUGUAGUAUACGAGCCAGACUAGCUUGUUGUUAUAUACUUACCACUCGCUGCCUAACGUUCGGCCGAUGUUGUUCUAUUGGGCUUUGGAGUUCCUAUCCUCUUGCUGUCCUGUCGAUAGAGGAGUUGAUUCUUGAUUCGAGUACAUACAUAGAGACCUGUCAAGUGGAGCCUUCGGAACUGGACUCCACUAGUUUCGAGAUAAGUUUCCCUGCGGGUAGUAGAAGUUUUGUCUUCGGCAUUUUAGUAUUCACUCCUAGUCUCGUAUCGUACACAAACCCAAGAUAGUUUUUCCCUCUCUGUCCCUCACUCCAUUAACACUUCGUUCACUGCUCAGGAAAGGUUCGAUUAUACCGCAGCCUGAGAAGAGACUAUGCUGGACUAAUGUUUACCCGACCUUUGUUAUAAGACUAUGCUAGACUCGUAGGGUAGUAUACCAGCUAGUAAGUACAUUGCGUGCUACGGCUUAGCAGCCUUCACUUGCCGAGCCAAUAGUCCUUCUCUUCUUAACCUCCUGAACUCAGUUGGUUCUCCUGAAACACUACUGCUCCGCUGACACUACGUUCACUGCUCGCCGAAGGAAGGGCAAGAAUACACUAUAUUCCUACUGCGAUACUGGAACGAGCCAGAGGGAUUCUAGACUCAACUCUUGAGACGAGACUGGAUUGGAACGAGAUGGAGAUCAGUGAGCAAGAAGUAUGUCUUCCGCCCUCUGACUGACUGGACGGGACGAGAUUCUCCACUGAGGGACUAUAUGUGGACAAAGGGAGCUAAACGCUAAUUGGAAGUCUGUCUCCAAGACCGGAGGGACCUAAACGCUAAUUGGGAUUUUAGAAACACUAAAGCCUGAGAUUGGAACAACGCCAAGGGACUAAGGGAUAUACUUCUUCUAUACCAAUACCGGCAGGAUAAGAUUGCCUAUGGACGGAGACAGAAUGAAGGGAUGAUACUAUCUUUAAGGACACAGCUUUGUAGUACCAUUAGCUUUCUGUUCGUUCAGUCGGAUAAAAGGACAGAUGUUCGGUCAGGCAAGUGGAGGAUAUGCUCUUUUGGCUAAGUAGUUCUUGUCCUAGGGACUCAAGCUCUAUUUUCUCUCUUCAAUUCAAUAGUAAACAGAGCUCGCAUAAAGUAGUUCGAUCCGGAUAUGGAAUGAGACACGAGCGCGGUAAACAAAGCUACCUACUAACGAGUAGUGGCCAGUAUAUAUUGAGUUUAAUAGUCGCAAGAGUAGUUCUCGAGCUAGCUAGACUACUAACACAAGUAGAAAUAGCAAACGAGCAUUUUGUUUCCACACGGGGAGCCAAAAUAUUCAAAAGGUGCUACUUCACUAGCCAGACUAGCACUAGCCAGUAGUUGGCCAAUGCUCUCUUUACUACGUUCCCUUCGUUCCUUCCCGCUGUCGCUAACGAAGUACUCCUGACCUCACUCUGUUCGUUAACUAUACACUGUGAACUGCUAAUGAAAGGAAAGAGAUUAAAUACCACUCACUGCCUACACUGGCACACUAGUACUAAUUAUGGAACUCGCCUCUCUCAAGCAAGCGGUUUUCUUAGGCAAAACACUAAAAAAAAAUCACUCGCCUCGCAGUUAGUCUCGUGUAGCUUAACGACUCCACUCGUAGGCUGUGCUCGUUGGUUGCUGAGAAUCCCAAAAAAGGUCAGCAAAGAAGCCUUGUUUCAUCCCCUGUGACUGCAAUGCUCUUACGACUAAAAAGUUCUUGUUCGGCUUCUGCUUGAUCAACCUCGAAAGCCGCAGAGGAGAGCCUAUCUCCCCAUUUGUACUACUUUAGCCGAACUGAACGUUAGGCGCUCACUCCGUAAGAACGACUACACUUGCUGCCCAAGUAGUUCGAUUAGUUUCGUAUCCUACACUCACCUACUUGAAAGCCAAGGCCCCCUUAACUUAACCCAUUGUUUCGUUCACUAUGUUCCUAUAGCCUAAUCCGUUCGCAGUCGCUCACUGCUACUAGCCAGUUCUCAAGCCUGUGGUGUGUAGGCAGCGCAAUAGCUUCUGAAGCGAGCGAAGAGAAGGAAGGGAUACGUUGUUGCCUACUUCGAGUACUAUAGAGUAGGGUAGUAGGUGAUAAGAAAAAAAGAAUUUGCUUUUUGAUAAGAAGAGAAGAAUUAGCAGAAGCCGAGAAGUACUAAACUUAGCCUAGCCGCGAGAACCAGAAGUACUUCUCUUCGCCACGAAGGGACGGAGGCAGGUUUGUUUUAUACCAACUGUACUUACUGACUGACAGGACGGGAUAUUCCUAAUUGGGAUUUGACGACGAUACAGACUCAACUAAAUGAGGGAAAGAAGGACUAUCGCGCCGCAGCCGCAGCAGACGUUUGCCAUCCUUGAAUACACUAUGCAUCAUAAGGAGACCGAGACUUUAUAUACUAGAGAGAUAGAGUCGUCAGUCAUAGGGACUGAGGUAAGGGAGUGUAGAACCUACUUAACUAGGUUCAUUCGGUUCUCCGUUCACAACGUUCAGUCUCAAAUCCAAUCCCUCCUUCACUAUGAACUUUGUGAACUGCUACUAGCUCGUAUACGAUCUCGUCUUAUGUACUUAUUAUGCUACUGCAACUUUUCUCCCUCCAUUAAAGCACUUCUAACUCGCCUGGAACUCAACCAACAGGAACUCGAAACCCGCUACACCAAACUUGAAACUAGGAAGACGAAGAAAAGACGAUGAAGUAGUACCAUCUGCUAGUCCCUCAAAGGCCAACAGGAAUAGGAACUCGAAACCCUAACACAAGCACAGCAGCGACUUCGUCAGUCCUUGAAAAGAUGGGAAACUCCUCUCAGCAAAAGGGUAGGAACUCGAAAGCCAUAACCAAGUUUCGGAUGUGGUUGGUGAGAGUCCCUUAAAACCCUUGUGGAGUCGACGUUCCGAAGGCGUAACUUGACGAGAACUGCAAGCCGAGACUUGCCUAGAAGUUAUCUAUCUCGAAAGCCCAAGAGUCAUGCCAUCUGCAAAAACUUUGAAAUCAAUAGCCUUAACACCAGCCUUGAAACUAGAAAGCCUAAAGCUUAAUGGCAGCCCUAUAAGCCUUUACACUAUAAAGAAAGAAAGCCUAGCUCAAAUAAAAAAAAGCUCCUCUUGAUUCUUGUCGAAACAAAACCUAAGUUCCCUGCAUCAAACUCGAAAGACGAAGAGCCUAAAAGAUCAGAGUUAUUUCACAACGAUAGGGACGAAGUUCGGGUUACCCUUUCUUUGAACCUUGUCAAUGAUCGAACUUACAGAUAGGAACUGAGUGCCAUUUGAUGAGUCACUGAGAACAAGGGAGAGGGAUAUAGAAAGGAUGAAGUAAUGAAAGAGGAAUUAAUUCCUAGUAGUAACGACUUGUCACGAUCCAUUGGUUCAUAUAGAAUCAAUGUCUUAGGUCUAUCAAAAAACAUUAUUUUCGCUAAGCAUAUAUAAUAAUAUAGAGUGAAAGGGUCCACUCCGCAACAAAGGAUGGGGUACUAACUACCCUGAAACCAAGGGGGUACUAACUAACUGUUGAGUCCUAUCCGAACCACAAGAGAUAGUUGCCCAUCAUGCGGUUCACCAACUGAACUUGCCUCUCCGGGGGGCUCGCUCCGGGCAGGUUCGGAUCACUAAUAUACAAGACAUGGCUCUAUAAAGGAAGGGGUUGGGUUAGGAGUGUUUUCGAUAGGACUCUUUUUCUCUUUGUCGAGACGAAAAAGGAACCUUCAACUUGGAAAUGUGACGGAGUUUUGUCCACUCCAUCUCCCUCUAUCGAAAUGAGAAAAAAGGAAGGCGAGCUUGCUUCUUAUUCCCGUGUUUGAUUUCUUCCAUCCAGACCCGCACCGCGCCACCUCUAUCCACGGUCGACAUUAUCCGCAAAAAACCAAAGAUGAUUUUCGCUAAGGAUGGUCUUAUUCGGGUGAGUGUGUGUGUCGGGGGUUCGUUAUCCCGUCUCGGCACCUUAGCCGCCCUGCGUGCGAAUCAAACAUAAGGUAGUAUCCCAUAGUGUAAUCAUUUCAUUUUUUAUUGUUGUAUACCACACGCAGGUUCCAAUGUAACACGCGACCGAACGUAUGUGGGCUGGGUCAGAAAUCACGCUCGUUAGGAUCUACUAUUAUGUAUGUUAAGGAAUAUUGAAUAUGAAAUGGAUGGUUAGAAUAUAGACAGGUAGGCCGGCAGCAGGCUAGGUCCUCCUGUACCAUCUGGUUCCGAAGGCAGGACAUACAAUGAAGAAAAGGACGCUCCUUUCAUCGCUACUUCAAAAGGUAAGCGGGACUAGAUGUUCGCCUUUGGAAAGUAAGGCUGGAUGUUUGUUCUCCUUUUGAAACUCCUUUGUUGUUGACUUUGUUAACCUAUAAACAUCCAUAGAAAGCGGUCACUUAAUUUAAGACUCAGCUUCCCUUUGGUACUCUUUCUGGAGUGUGGGGUUUGCGGUUCAUAAGACCAAUGUUCAACUACACCAAAGUAGAAGGGCCACUAUAGAAGUUCUUAAUGGGCUGCGGUGGGGGCAAGGGCGAACUCUAUCAGCUCUCAGUGGGCUAGGACUAGUCCCCUGCGAGCUUCACUUUCUUUAUAGUGCUAGCCUUUCGUCAAGUAGGUAGGCCCUCCAUUAGAAGCUUUUGUUAAGUUAAUAAGUAGGCCACUAUACUAUAAUAGAGUAUAGCUUAAGCUGUACGUUGGCCGACAGAGAGCUUAGUAAGCAAGCUACCUUUUCUUCCAUCUCUGCUCCGCUUCCAUGUGGGCAGAGACCUCUGCAGAGAAUGAAGAGGGGCCAACGACCUUGAAAAAGUAAGGCCCCGUUAGCCUAGGCUCGGGAUAAGGAAGACGGAUUUUUUGCCCCCCUUAGCUCUGCCAGACACUGGACAGUGGUUAGCUCUGUAAAUGUGUAGAGCCAAGUGUAGUGUGGUGUAGUAGUAGGCACUUCUAGGCCCCUUCCCGGCUACUGGAACACUCCAGUGCUUCGGGUACUACGGACCCUCUGCCAUCCAUUGCAGCAAAGCCGUUUCGUGAGUGGGGGGGCGGGGGGGGGGGGCGCUAAGCGCAGUUCUUUGAAUCUACACGUUGAAUUCAAUCUGUGAUUUCUACAUAGAUAUAUAUAAAUAGAAAUAGGAUAGAUGGAUGGAUCUAUCUCUCUAUUCAUAUAGAUUACUAUGGAUCUAUAUAUUUGAUAGAAAUACGCAAGAAGCCCCAAAUGCUUGAUUUGGCAAGGAAACACUGCAGUGCUUUAGGCCCAGGAAGUAAAGGGAAUGAGCUCGGCUGCUUCUCCUCCGCACUUCUUUACUCCGCGCCCGUUCCACAUGUGCUUCGCUCGCCAUUGGCGCUUUGCUCUCCUCUUAUUCAUUGGACGGUUCAGAUGGACUUCGCCGUUCUUUCCCAACUAAAAGAGAAAGGGUUGUAUCACAUCGAGAUGUUGAUUCAUUUUACACCCCCAAACCUCUGUCCCUUCAUCUUUCUGAAUCGAGGCCCGGCUCGCGUUGUUCCUACAACCGGUGGGCAGCACCUCAGUACAUGAUCUCUAAAGUAACUACGAGUCCUAUUACACCUAAGGCCAACUUCGAUUCACCAAACCCAGGUUCAGCUCGUGUAGUGAUUGUGGAAUCGUACAAGGAUAUAGAGUAGACGGUUGAUGUAUAAGACUUGACCUGUUCUUUCGUAGCAUGCAUUCCUAUCUGUGUCGCAACUAAUUCGGUAAGCUACGUGUCCGGUGCACGGAGAACUGCCUUCAAUCCCCCAACCUUACUCGUGGCAACCUUUCGACCACCCAACGACCUAUAAAGCUAGUCCCUACUCCCACUGGAGCUAGGAAGUAAGCUCCACAACCCAAAGCGGCGAAGAACAAUAGAAUUUGCUACGAAAGCUGGCUAACGAGGGGAUUCCUACUUAUGAUAACAUAGUUAUGGAGAAGGUAAUAGCCAAAAUAGGAUUCGUUUUGGCUAGAACACCCAAAUCCGCUAUAUAUUUGACACGGGUUUUCCGUAAUGCUGGAACUAUGGCGAAUGCAUCUAUCGUCAUUGAUGCAAAAAUAAAGAUACCAAUUAGUAGUGAUUGAAUUCCUUCUAUGGUUCCACAUGAGAAACCAGUAUGAAUAUAACCUACAUGUCCAAUCGAACUAGAAGCUAGAGGUCUUUCGACUUUCGUUUGGGCCAUGGCGGCUAGUGCUCCUAAGAUCAUGAAAGCAAUGCUGCAAAAAAAGAAGAUUUGUUGCAAUGUAGCUCCAUAGGAACCAUAAAUAGAAACACGUGACAUAUUUGUAGAAAUAGAGAUUUUAGGUGCAAUAGAAAGGAAUGUUGUAACCGGGGUGGGUGAACCCUCAUAGAUAUCAGGUGCCCACAUAUAUAGAGUUGAAAGAUAUAUGGAGUCCUAAGGGGAGGGGGGUUUUCUUCAGGGCUAGAGAGAGGGAAUAGAUAGGGCCCCACAAGUUGUUAAUUCACAUAUGAGGAAUGAACACGAAAGGGAACGAGGAAUUCUCAACGAAACGAAAAAAGUGCUCUCUGAACCAAACGUGGAAGUUGUUUUCCAUCAGAUGGUUGUUCCCGUAACUUCACUCUCGACUCGGAUUAUAUAUCCAAAAGGUCUGCUGUCGGCCAUUCCACCCGCUACCUAUCAGAGGCGUGGUUCUCUUCAGUGGAUUCUUUUUUUUGUAGUAGAUGCCGAACCUGCUGCUCAGUGGGCGGGCGCCGCAGCUACAUGGACCCCUUCCUUUCUGUUUUAGCCAGCGCUUUCUCAGGCCCAGCCGGAUUUCUUAGAAAGGGCAAGCAAAGGCCAAAGGCUGCUAUCCUAAUAGGCCAGUGGGCGGAAUGAGGAGAGGGCUUUAGCUCUCGACUGAAAGGAGAGGGCUCGGCAAUCAUACCACCGCGGUUGAAAAAGCGUGUUAUCUUUGCUCUAGGCCAUCCUCGGCCUUCUUCGUUUUCGAUGAAAAACUUCUCUCGAUCUCUGAAAGAUUUUUCCUUCCCCCGCCUCAUCUCCCUCCCUUUGUCGAGCCUUUCCUUUAGUGGUUGGGGGAAGCAUUCCCUCAUUUGAACCUGGCGGGCAUUCUUUCGUUAUGGGGUGGGUUUGGUUUGAACAUAGCAUAAAAUAAAGCAAGCCUCUAAGAAGUAGUAGAGAUGACAAAAAGAGGUCGCUUCCCUGUGUAGCACUGAAUAAAAGGAGGACUAAGGAGCAAAGCCCCAAGCGAGAAGAGUUAUAGCAUCAAAUUGCUCGGGGCUUUGCUCCUUGCCCAUGUAGCUUAAUGACUGAACUCGUUGCUUGCCAUCCUAUUUGGGCGCGUUGUGCUAACGACAAAAUGGGAUUCGCAACAGCAAAAAGCCCAGCCAAUAGUUAGACCUUGCUUGCCACUACUUUGUUUGCUUGGUACCAAUGAGCAAAGCCAGUGGUAGUGUAGCCUAGCAGAGCAAGCCUAUGGUAGCAACGUCAAAGCCCUCUUCAACUUGGGCUUUGACAAGACUUGGCUACCACUGGCUCGUUGGUAACCUUUUUUUAGGCACUCCGCAACCUUUUGACUUACAUCCAGAAACCCAGUUCGUUCCCUUUCGUCAAGUAGGUAGUCAUGUGAACCACUUUCGCUUUGCCUUAUACUCUAUUGGAACAAAGAAGGAGGCUGAAUGGAGAAAGGGACAAAGGCGGUCUUGCUUGGCGCUAAGGCUGCUGGUUCGGGGGUAGGGUUUGGUACUAAAGGUCCUCGGACUUCCAGGUGGUUGUUUUGGUAGCUGUUCACCAUUGGAUCUCAGCAUUACACCCCCCCUAUGGUUUUCGUUACCGAGAUAUCCCUUUUUUUUUCAUUGUUCCUUGGGAUUUCUUGGGUAAUCAGCUCCCAUGCUGCAAACAGUCAAAUCUUAACCUUGUCGCUCUUCUUUCCUCGUGGGCAGGAAGCACACCAGCAGCAUGUGUUGCGUGAUUCCACUGUGUUUGCACUGUACUGGGUGGACAGUUGACCGGAUGAGAACUUCGAUUCACCCGGCCAGCAGUCGGGCGGCGUGCUUAUCUUGUGUGACAACACUACAAAGCUAGAGGCUUUUCUAGGUGGGCGGCUGUGUGACAACACUCCAGAGAAAGCAGCGCUUUCGUGUAACAUGCUACGGUCUCAACGUCCUUACGAGGUAGUGAUGAGUUUCAC